CUUCCGAUUUUCCGAUCUGACACUCGAUCGUCCGGAGAGAUUUGCGGACGAUCUCGACCGUCGAUUCGCAAACGAAGUCCGAUCGCCACGAAACUAGUGCCAUCGCGAAGCUUGAGCUGAGGAGAGUCGGGAUAUGUCCUCCGAUCAUCCAUCCUCCGCCGGAGCUCGCCGGAAAAGCCCAAAAACGCGGCUGCCUCCACUUUCUCUCUCCACCGUGAAUCUCCGAUUCCGGCCACCACUGUCGACACCGCUGCCGCCAAAACAAAGCCGAGGCCGAGAGGAGUCGAU
rnacentral:lncRNA from 1 species